rnacentral:rRNA from 1 species
GAUGAACGCUGGCGGCGUGCCUAAUACAUGCAAGUCGAGCGAACGGGCGAGAAGCUUGCUUCUCUGAUGUUAGCGGCGGACGGGUGAGUAACACGUGGAUAACCUACCUAUAAGACUGGGAUAACUUCGGGAAACCGGAGCUAAUACCGGAUAAUAUUUUGAACCGCAUGGUUCAAAAGUGAAAGACGGUCUUGCUGUCACUUAUAGAUGGAUCCGCGCUGCAUUAGCUAGUUGGUAAGGUAACGGCUUACCAAGGCAACGAUGCAUAGCCGACCUGAGAGGGUGAUCGGCCACACUGGAACUGAGACACGGUCCAGACUCCUACGGGAGGCAGCAGUAGGGAAUCUUCCGCAAUGGGCGAAAGCCUGACGGAGCAACGCCGCGUGAGUGAUGAAGGUCUUCGGAUCGUAAAACUCUGUUAUUAGGGAAGAACAUAUGUGUAAGUAACUGUGCACAUCUUGACGGUACCUAAUCAGAAAGCCACGGCCAACUACGUG